CAAUAGCGUAUAUUAAAGUUGUUGCAGUUAGAACGCUCGUAGUCGGAUUUCGGGGCGGGCCGACCGGUCUGCCGAUGGGUACGCACUGGUCGGCGCGUCCUUCCUUCCGGAGACCGUGCCUACUCUUAACUGAGCGGGGGCGGGAGACGGAUCGUUUACUUUGAAAAAAUCAGAGUGUUUCAAGCAGGCAGCUCGCUCUUGCAUGGAUUAGCAUGGGAUAAUGAAAUAGGACUUUGGUGCUAUUUUGUUGGUUUCGAACACCGAAGUAAUGAUUAAAAGGGACAGUCAGGGGCACUCGUAUUCCGCCGAGAGAGGUGAAAUUCUCAGACCAGCGGAAGACGAACUACUGCGAAAGCAUUUGCCAGGGAUGUUUNCACUG
rnacentral:rRNA from 1 species